rnacentral:rRNA from 1 species
UACCAAGGCGAUGAUCCGUAGGGGGCGUGAGAGCGUGGCCCCCCACACUGGCACUGAGAUACGGGCCAGACUCCUACGGGAGGCAGCAGUGAGGAAUAUUGCACAAUGGGCGCAAGCCUGAUGCAGCAACGCCGCGUGCGGGACGAAGGCCUUCGGGUCGUAAACCGCUUUUCUGGGGAAAGAGCAAGGACGGUACCUCAGGAAUAAGUCUCGGCUAACUACGUGCCAGCAGCCGCGGUAAAACGUAGGAGGCGAGCGUUAUCCGGAUUUACUGGGCGUAAAGCGCACGCAGGCGGCUCCGUGAGUCGGACGUGAAAGCUCUCGGCUUAACCGGGAGAGGCCGUUCGAUACUGCGGGGCUUGAGGUAGGGAGAGGAAUGCGGAAUUCCCGGUGUAGUGGUGGAAUGCGUAGAUAUCGGGAGGAACACCUGUGGCGAAAGCGGCAUUCUGGCCCUCACCUGACGCUGAGGUGCGAAAGCGUGGGU